UACUUAUUACCGGUAGUGAGUCUGUAAGAAAAGAGGAGGUGGUGGUUUUCCUCCUCUUUUCUUAGAGACUCACUACCAGUAAUAAGAAAUACUACUA
ensembl:miRNA